AGAACGAACGCUGGCGGCAUGCCUAACACAUGCAAGUCGAACGCGUGUAGCGAUACACGAGUGGCGGACGGGUGAGUAACGCGUGGGAACCUGCCCUGGAGUGUGGGAUAACCGAGGGAAACUUCGGCUAAUACCGCAUACGACCUGAGGGUGAAAGAUUUAUCGCUCUAGGAGGGGCCCGCGUCGGAUUAGCUAGUUGGUGGGGUAAAGGCCUACCAAGGCAGUGAUCCGUAGCUGGUCUGAGAGGAUGAUCAGCCACACUGGGACUGAGACACGGCCCAGACUCCUACGGGAGGCAGCAGUGGGAAUAUUGGACAAUGGGGGCAACCCUGAUCCAGCAAUGCCGCGUGAGUGAUGAAGGCCUUAGGGUUGUAAAGCUCUUUCGCGCGCGACGAUGAUGACGGUAGCGCGAGAGAAGCCCGGCUAACUCGUGCCAGCAGCCGC
rnacentral:rRNA from 1 species